AUUGAACGCUGGCGGCCGGCCUAACACAUGCAAGUCGAACGAGUGGCGGACGGGUGAGUAAUGUCUGGGAAACUGCCUGCUGGAGGGGGAUAACUACUGGAAACGGUAGCUAAUACCGCAUACCAUCAGAUGUGCCCAGAUGGGAUUAGCUUGAUGGUGGGGUAACGACUCACCAAGGCGACGAUCCCUAGCUGGGCUUGGAGGAUUACAAGCAACCCUGGAACUGAGACACGGUCCAGACCCCUACGGGAGGAAGCAGUGGGGAAUAUUGCACAAUGGGCGCAAGCCUGAUGCAGCCAUGCCGCGUGUAUGAAGAAGGCCAUCGGGUUGUAAAGUACUUUCAGCGGGGAGGCGUUACCCGCAGAAGAAGCACCGGCUAACUCCGUGCAAGCAGCCGCGGUAAUAC
rnacentral:rRNA from 1 species